rnacentral:rRNA from 1 species
UACAUAGGUCCCAAGCGUUAUCCGGAAUUACUGGGCGUAAAGAGUCCGUAUAUGGAUGUGUAAGUCUACUUUUAAAAAACGAGACUCAAUCUCGUCGUGGGAGUGGAUACUGCAUUUCUCGAGUGUAUUAGAGGUUAGUAGAAUUUCCAGUGGAGGGGUGAAAUCUGUUGAUAUUGGAAAGAAUACCAAAAGCGAAAGCAGCUAACUAUAAUAUUUCUGACAUUGAUGGACGAAAGUUUGGGUAGCAAACGGG